UCUCUCCUUGCUAUAUGCUGUACUUUUUUAUACUGAGGUUGAAGUGGAAAAUGAAUUCUCAUGUGUUAGUAUGCAAAGAAAGGCAUAUUAUUUUUCAUUGUUUUGCAAUUUUUUUCCUUGUUUAACCUCUCCAUAAUUUGUAUACAGCAUCUUCAGUUGUUCCAUAGGGAAAUUGUAAAACCCAAUACAUAUAUCAUAUAGUAAAUGUCUAAAUUGUUAAAGGAGCUUGGUCAUAACUAGGAUCAUACCAAUAUGGACUUAUUUUUAUGCCAGAUUUAAAUACCAGAUUCUAAACCUUUUAUCAAAAUCAUCCAAGAUUAUCUUGGAAAUCCCUGGGAGGCUGAUACACUUUAAAAUCUGGUUUCUGAUAACCAAUAAAUUGAUAUGACAUCAUUGUUAAUAAGCUCCUCA
rnacentral:lncRNA from 1 species